rnacentral:rRNA from 1 species
GACGAACGCUGGCGGCGUGCUUAACACAUGCAAGUCGAACGAAGUGGCGAACGGGUGAGUAACGCGUAAUCAACCUGCCCUUCAGAGGGGGUCAACAGUUGGAAACGACUGCUAAUACCGCAUACUGAAGGAGGGGAUUGCGUCUGAUUAGCUAGUUGGAGGGGUAACGGCCCACCAAGGCGAUGGUCAGUAGGCGGUCUGAGAGGAUGAACCGCCAAAUUGGGACUGGGACCCGGCCCAGACUCCUAAGGGAGGGAGCAGUGGGGAAUCUUCAGCAAUGGACGAAAGUCUGACGGAGCAACGGCGCGGGAGGGAUGACGGCCUUCGGGUUGGAAAGCUCUGUUAAGCGGGACGCGGUACCGGAAUAGAAAGCCACGGCUAACUACGUGCCAGCAGCCGCGGUAAUAC